CGUUUUUAGAUGCCUUCUCCAGGCUCAUUUUCUAUUUUAUUUGUACUUCUGUUAGAUUAGGAGAUAAAUCACUUUGGAUGGAAUCUAUGCUCUGUCAAUCCUACAUGGACCUUAAAAGUGCAGUGGAUGGAGAUUCCUGUGUUUUUCACCUCGACUUAUGGCACAGUCUGGUUGCCUGAAUUACUUCAGUGAAAAUGAUAUCCAAACCCAAUAUACAUGGGCAACAGAAGGCAGCUACAAAACUCACAGGACUCAAACUUUCUAGGAUCCGCUGGGUCAUCGCUCAUCUAAAGGAAAUUGUAGCUGUAACUGCUGGUGAAACUGAAGGGGUGCAGAUAUUACCUCCCCUAGGAGGCUGACUGGGCAUCUCAUAGAGGCUGUACUUCCAGAGGUCCAGAGAAGGGCCAGGGCCCCAGACUUGAGGAUCUAGGACAGGACCCAAGGAUCCUCCACUUGGGAGAUAAGGGUUCUCAACAGUGGUACUCCAGGUCGGGGCUAAGGACAGAGACAUCCAGGCAGGCCCGGGCGAAGCUGUGGAUGGAGGACCGGCUGAGCAGCUGUGUCUGAUAACCUAUUCAUGUUACUUUGUAUAACAUGCUUCUGACUGGUACGUAUGAUUUUAUUGCAUUCACAGGCCAUAGCUUAUGUCUUCCUCUCCUCCUGGAUACUUGGGUUGUUCCCAGCUGCUCCCACUUCUACAAAAGCAUGUCUUCUUGUGAACCUGCCCUGUGGUUUCUUGGUAAAUAUGUCCUAGAGUAGAAUGGCUGAGA